UACAGAGGGUGCGAGCGUUAAUCGGAAUUACUGGGCGUGAAGCGCGCGUAGGCGGCUUUGCAAGCCGGAUGUGAAAUCCCCGGGCUUAACCUGGGAACUGCAUUCGGGACUGCAUUGCUAGAGUAUGGGAGAGGGAAGUGGAAUUUCAGGUGUAGCGGUGAAAUGCGUAGAUAUCUGAAGGAACAUCAGUGGCGAAAGCGACUUCCUGGACCAAUACUGACGCUCAUGUGCGAAAGCGUGGGGAGCAAACAGG
rnacentral:rRNA from 1 species